ensembl:lncRNA
AACCGUUCCUCCCGGGCCUCACUUCUUGCCAUGUCCUCCUUCCAUUGUCGAGUCAUGACUUGCAUCUGGUUUACCAGCACAUGGACGUCUCUCACUGGCCUUGUUUGCUGGGUCCUCGUUCCUUUAAGAAACGGCAGCUAUAAAGUCAGUCGUAUCCCUACCGAUUAGGCAUGUGGUAGUAACCAUCUCGACAUCAGCUGUUUGUUAGACUACACAGGAUGAGUGACAGCAUGGCAUGAAGAUUCUUUGUGAUGCCCAUAUGUUGAUGCAGUUAUAAUAUUGCAGAACUUACCAGGUAGAUCAUCGGUGAUUGUAGCACGCAGUGGAGUAGAAGGUGGUGGAGAGCAGCUAGAGUCGACCUAACGGAGGAGGUAGCACGCAGUGGAGUAGAAGGUGGUGGAGUUGACGUAGGUGAGGAGGUUCCAGAUGAGCCUCCGAGCAGCGUCUCUUCCGGGUCCAUUGUAGUAUCUAUAAGAUGGUACAGCACAAAUAAUAAUAAAACGUUAUUUAUAGAGCACCUUUCAUGCAAAAGAAUGCAGCUCAAAGUGCUUUACAGCAAAUACGUGCGUAAUAACGUGCACAAAGAAAUUACCUGCACAUAAAAAUGGACAAAGAAACAUAAAAACUCAACUAUAGUGCAAAAACAAAUGUAGAAAGUACAGUUCAUGUAAUGUACACUUUAUUACGUUUGUAACUUUCAUUCUAAAUUGAAUUCCUUGCAGGUUAGUGGGAAGAUCUACACGUUUCUCAAAGGCUAAGGGCUAGCUAGCAAGUGGCACCCAUGUUAGCUAUGAAAGCUACGGUUAUCAAGUGGGACCCGGGUUAGCCUUACGUUUUAUCAUUGUUACAUUGUUUUCAUCGUCGAUUUAAUUCCUCGCUAGUUAUGGGAAGGU